UAAUAAGAAGAGUUUAACUCUGGCUCAGUAAUUGAGUAUUAGUUACAAAUACAUGAAAUAUUAUUAGGGAAGUUGUGUGUUGUUAAAUAAGUUUAGUGCUGUAAGUAGAUUGUCUAUAAUUUUUUAAUUCUCAGUAUGGCGGAUUAAUACAUUAGUUGAUCUAGAUUUAGUAAUAAGGAUUAGUUGGUUAAAUUGGUGCCAGCAGUCGCGGUUAGACCAUGGACUUUGCAAUUUGUUUAAUUACAGUUAUUGUUAACUUUUAUAAAAUUUUUAUUUUUAAGGGUAAAAUCUUAUAUUUUAAUAAUUUAUUAUAUUAUAUGAAGCUGAAAAAUUUUGGGUAUAAACCAGGAUUAGAUACCCUGUUAUUCCAGGACUUUAGAAAGGUAGUAUUAGUUAUAGUCUUCAAACCUAAAGAGUUUGGCGGUACUUAAUUUUAUCAGAGGAACCUGUCUAGUAAAUGAUGAUCCACGAAUAUCUUGCUUAGUAUUAAGGUUUGUAUACCGUCGUUUGUAAUUUUAUUAUCAGAUAUAUAUUAAUUACGAUAAUUCGAUAAUGUCAGAUCAAGGUGCAGCGUAUAACUAAGUUGGGAUGGGUUACAUUUCAUAUUGUAAUUCUAGAUAUAGUGAAAUUGGUAUUAAAGUUUGGAUUUGAUAGUAAUUAAUAAUUAAUAUAUAUUAAUGAUUUUAAUCUUAAGUAUGUACAAAUCGCCCGUCAUUCUCAAAUUAUUGCUAGAGACAAGUCGUAACAUAGUAGAUGUAUCGGAAGGUGUAUCUUUAUAAGUUUA
rnacentral:ncRNA from 1 species